GCCUCGAUCUAUAUCCCUUUGUCGUUUCAUACCCCUUCCUUCUUCCAUCCUCCUUGGUGUUCCUUUAUAACUUCUGCCGAACAGAUCGUGUUUCCCGGCGACUAUUCUAGAACCUUCAUGAAUCUUCCCACGGCGACGGCGCUCUCCCUCUUUAGGCCUUACAAAGUCAUCUAAAGCAACAAUCCCCUCACCAUGAUGAACUCCGAAGCGAAGAGGAAAGAAGAAACCGGGCAAGUUCAAUGCCCUCCAAACCCAAACCCAAACCCAAACCCCAAACCCGAACACAAAAGCCGCCCAGAGAAGAACGAGACGAACUGCUUGGUUCAACACGGGAGGUACAAUCGCAACACACUCGCGCCGUUGUAGAAUCGGUAACGUGAAUACGAGAGAAGAGCAACAACAAGCAACCAGCGCCUCAAGCUUAGGGUUUCGGAAGAAGCAAUUAAAGAGAAAGAGAUGGAUGACGAGGUCGAUUAGCCGGCGGUGGCCGGAGCCCCGACAAGGCUGCGCCUGCCGAAGACGAAGGAAGCACUGCUCCCAUCCCGAGAGGGUACAGGUAGGUGGUUCUUCCGUGUACAAAUGGGCAGAAAGCUUGGGAAGGGAGGGUUUGGACAAGUUUACGUAGGUAGGCGAGUUGGGGCUGGUGCCGGAGCGUUAGAGGUAGCUUUGAAGUUUGAACAUAGAAGCAGUAAGGGGUGCAAUUAUGGACCUCCAUAUGAGUGGCAAGUUUACAAUGUAUUGGGUGGUAGUCAUGGUGUUCCACGUGUUCAUUACAAGGGACGGCAAGGUGAUUACUAUGUUAUGGUCAUGGAUAUGCUUGGCCCUAGUCUGUGGGAUGUCUGGAAUAACAACUCAAACACAAUGUCUGCGGAAAUGGUGGCAUGUAUAGCAAUUGAGGCCAUCUCCAUAUUAGAGAAGAUGCAUUCUAAAGGGUAUGUGCACGGUGAUGUAAAACCUGAGAAUUUUUUGCUUGGCACCCCUGGAACUGCUGAUGAGAAAAAGCUUUUCCUAGUUGAUCUUGGAUUAGCAACCCGUUGGCGUGAUUGUUCAACUGGCUUUCAUGUUGAGUAUGAUCAACGUCCUGAUGUAUUUAGAGGAACAGUUCGUUAUGCUAGUGUGCAUGCUCAUCUGGGUAGAACAGGAAGCAGGAGAGAUGAUUUGGAAUCUCUUGCUUACACAUUGAUUUUCCUUCUUCGUGGCCGGCUACCUUGGCAAGGAUACCAGGGAGAAAAUAAAGGAUUUCUUGUGUGCAAGAAAAAGAUGGCAACCUCACCAGAAGCUUUGUGUUGUGUCUGUCCUCCACCAUUCCGGCAGUUUGUGGAAUACGUAGUGAAUUUGAAGUUUGAUGAAGAACCAAAUUAUGCGAAGUAUAUAUCACUUUUUGAUGGAAUUGUUGGACCGAAUCCAGAUAUCAGACCCAUAAAUACCGAAGGUGCACAAAAGCUUAUAAAUCUGGUUGGACAUAAGAGAGGACGAUUAACUGUGGAAGAAGAUGAUGACGAACAACCAAAGAAGAGAGUGAGAAUGGGAAUGCCAGCAAUGCAAUGGAUUAGUGUGUACAAUGCCCGCCGACCAAUGAAGCAAAGGUACCAUUACAAUGUUGCUGAUGUGCGGCUGUCCCAACACAUUGAAAAGGGAUAUGAGGAUGGGUUAUUUAUCAGCAGUGUAGCCUGUUGUUCUAACCUAUGGGCACUUAUUAUGGAUGCUGGCACUGGUUUCACUGCUCAAGUUCAUGAACUCUCACCCCACUUCCUUCAUAAGGAAUGGAUUAUGGAACAGUGGGAAAAUAAUUAUUACAUUAGUGCAAUAGCAGGAUCUAACAAUGGGAGCUCAUUGGUUGUAAUGUCUAAAGGGACCCAAUACAUGCAGCAAUCCUAUAAAGUUAGCGAGUCAUUCCCAUUUAAGUGGAUCAAUAAAAAAUGGAGAGAAGGAUUUUCUGUCACUGCUAUGGCUACUGCUGGGAGUAGAUGGGCAAUUGUAAUGUCCCGUGGUGCUGGAUAUUCAGACCAGGUUGUGGAACUUGAUUUCCUGUAUCCUAGUGAAGGCAUUCAUCGCAGGUGGGACAAUGGUUACCGCAUCACUUCAACUGCUGCCACCUGGGACCAAGCUGCUUUUGUUCUUAGUGUCCCAAGAAGAAAACCGGCUGAUGAAACUCAAGAGACACUCCGCACAUCUGCCUUUCCUAGUAGUCACGUCAAGGAAAAAUGGUCAAAAAAUCUCUAUAUUGCAUCAAUAUGCCAUGGGAGAACAGUUUCAUGAACUGAGAAGUUUUGAGACUUCAGCUGACUUUUGACUUUUUGCAUCAAAGUUCCAGUUCUUAGAUGUGCCAUUUUGGAAUCUGGAAUCAUAUCUGAUGAGUUCGGUGAUCAAAGAUAUUCAGCAUUGAUUUACAUACAGCUGGAUUCUGCAGAGCACAAUGCUUCAUUUUCCUCUGUAGCCUGCCCUCCUAGUGUGGUAAAAGGUGUUUGUUGCUCUGCUGUAGUCUGAGUUACUUAACUUUUUUUAAAUUUUGUUACGUGUUCAUAUGAUUUAAUGUGAACAAUAUUCAACUAAUUGAAACAAAAUGAUUACUUCAGUUUCAAAAUUUGCUAGUGUUAUGCUUAACUCAAUGUCUUUUUUGUUCUCGAUCUUGUAUAGUGUGAAUACUGAUUAUUUAAAUUUUUAACUGUUGCUAUUUUGGAAGAUCAAGAUGUUGUACAUGUAUUAAUUUUAUAGCAUAUGAUUGUUUAAGCGAGAGGGAGCCAUGUGAGAUGUGACUCACUUUUAGGAGUUGUUGCAAUUGAUAGCCAUCUAUUUGUUGCUGAUAUGGGGUAAGUUUUUUUAAUUGUUUCUACCCAUCUGCAUGGCGGAAUACAGUCUUGAUUCUGAUGAGCAGUUGGCUAUCGGGGCAGCUCAGCUGUUGUGAUACAGUUAAAGGGUUGUUGUUACAAUUAUUGACUUUUAUAUCUCCUGACACUUCUGGAGCAUCUGGAGCAGGUAUUUGUUUCUGCAGCUACUGUUAUCAAAUGUCUGAUAUUUUGUGCUGCUGAAACGUUUGCGUACUUUGAUCUAGAUAGCCGUUUCUAUCGCAACGGUAUGUUUGAUUUGGCCUGAUGGCACGAGACUUCAGUUCCUGGCAUUUUGGUGGUAAUUAUUUUCUUGCAGUUGCAUGCGUCGUUACUAGUUAGUUGAUUUCCAUGUCUUCUCCUUGAUAAAAACUGAAGUUCUUUAUGUACUUAAUUUUCAAGGGAUGUAGUAACGUGCAGAUUUGUAUUUGUUUGUUCAUACUGCCACUAUGAUUCUGGAGAGCCCCACACCCUUAAGAAGUGGUGAAGCAGUUGAUGGUACUGAAGCAUUUGGAACUAUUUCCUGUAUGUGAUUCUUUCCUUAAAUAGUGAACUUUGUAGUAGCAAGCCGUGGGUAGGGCUUUAGAUUGAAUAUGAAGAAAACUCGUUUAGUGAUAUUUAAAAACCCCCUUU